CCCAAACCAAAUAUAUGUGAUAUUAUUAUACAUAUAUAAUUUAAUUUUAUCGAGUUUAUAA
rnacentral:sRNA from 1 species